CUGUCAUUCUGAAGCCAGGCUGCCUGGUGACGAUAUUAUCUGGGAGAACAGAGAAAAGGUUUUAUAAACGGCGUCAUGAUGUCACAGAUUUGUUUCAUGUUGCUCGUCUUGAGUUUCUUUGAGGGAUCCAGGGGGAUCACUCAGACACCAGCUUCCAUACAGGCAAGUCUUGGGGACAGAGUGAAAAUCCUGUGCCACGCUUCCUCUCCUAGGAGUGAUGAUAUGUCCUUAUAUCAGUUUAAACCAGGACAGAAGCCCAAGCUUCUUAUUCAUAAUGCUACGAGCCGUUUUGAAGGCACCCCAGAUCGCUUCAGUGGUACCUACAGAAACACUGACUUCUCAUUCACCAUCAGCGACGUCAGUGUCGAGGAUGAAGCAGACUACUACUGUGCCCAACAGCAAAUGUACCCUCCCAUUUUUGGUGAGGGGACCAAGUUAGAAAUCAAACGCAGAGAAGAUGCCACGCCAUCGGAGUGAAGUGACACACAAAACGUUGUCCAGCCCUCUUGUGAAGAGUUUUCGGAGGUCUGAGGGCUCCAGAUAGGCCAUCCUGUAAAGCAGGUUCUUCUUUAUAGUCAUUUUCCUGCAACAAGUUUACCAUCUCUAUCAGAAAUCACCCUUGUAUUAUGAUUGAAGGAAAGAAGUCUUACAUAGGUAUCUCAUAUUGCAUGUCCUUUCUCUGCAGUCUGUAAAUUCUUCCAGGUCCUUUUUUCUCUUACUUAUCUAACGUUAACCUUGUGGAAUAAUAUAAAGGCAUAAAUAAACGCAUCUUGA